UGGCUCUGGCAUCGAUGAAGAACGCAGCGAAAUGCGAUAAGUAAUGCGAAUUGCAGAUUUCAGUGAGUCAUCGAAUCUUUGAACGCACAUUGCGCCCGCCAGUAUUCUGGCGGGCAUGCCUGUUCGAGCGUCAUUUCAACCAUCAAGCCCCCGGGCUUGCGUUGGGGCCCUGCGGCUGCCGCAGGCCCCGAAAAGCAGUGGCGGGCUCGCAGUCACACCGAGCGCAGUAGCGAUAUUCGCUCCGGGCGUCGGCUGCGGGCACCGGCCGUGAAACCCCCCCCCUCAAGGUUGACCUCGGAUCAGGUAGGAAUACCCGCUGA
rnacentral:misc_RNA from 1 species